CCCCUAAAUAAUUCACGUUGCAGCGCGGCGGCAACUGAGCGAAUCCCCGGGAACAUAGAUAACUAUAUGCCCGGGGUGAACAAA
rnacentral:sRNA from 1 species